rfam:Lampropedia hyalina DSM 16112 genome assembly, contig: EK00DRAFT_scaffold00028.28
CCUGAUGACCAUAGCAGUCUGGAACCACUCCUUCCCAUCCCGAACAGGACAGUGAAACAGUCUCGCGCCAAUGAUAGUGCGGUCUCCCGUGUGAAAGUAGGUCAUCGUCAGGC